rnacentral:rRNA from 1 species
UACGAAGGGGGCUAGCGUUGCUCGGAAUCACUGGGCGUAAAGGGCGCGUAGGCGGCCAUUCAAGUCGGGGGUGAAAGCCUGUGGCUCAACCGACAGAAUUGCCUUCGAUACUGUUGGCUUGAGUAUGGUAGAGGUUGGUGGAACUGCGAGUGUGAGGUGAAAUUCGUAGAUAUUCGCGAAGAACACCGGUGGCGAAGGCGGCCAACUGGACCAUUGACUG